rnacentral:rRNA from 1 species
AAUGAUGAAUGUCAUAGAUUAGACACAUAAUAGUUUAUUCUAUAAAUGAAAAUGUAAGCAUUCCACCUCAAGAGUAAUUUGGCAACAUUGGAACUGAAAUCAUUAGACCGUUUCUGAAACCAGUAGUGAAGUAUGUUGUUUAAUUUGAUAAUCCGCAAAAAACCUUACCACAAUUUGAAUAUUUAUAUUAUCUUUCUGAUCUAUUACAUGAAAGGAAAAAAUAUAUUUACAAGCGUUGCACGGCUGUCUUCAGUUAAUGUCGUGAGAUUUUGGUUAGUUCCAUUAAAUUAACGUAAACCCUUACUUUAUUUUUAUAUAAAGUAGUUCCCCACUAGAUUGGAUAAGAUAACAGGGACUAAGACAAGUCAUCAUGGCCUAAAUAUUGUGGGCUAUA